rnacentral:sRNA from 1 species
GCCGGGCGACGUGGCGGGCACCUGUAGUCCCAGCUACUCGGGAGGCUGAGGCACGAGAAUGGCCUGAACCCGGGAGGCGGAGCUUGCAGUGAGCUGAGAUCCGGCCACUGCACUCCAGCCUGGGUGACAGAGUGAGACUCUGUCGCAAAAAAAAAAAAAAAAAAAGAAAUUUACUCAAAGAUUAUUUUUCUUUUUCUUUCUCUUUUUUUUUGAGAUGGAGUCUCGCUCUGUCUGGAGUGCAGUGGAGUGAUCUCGGCUCACUGCAACCUCCGCCUCCCGGGUUCAAGCGAUUCUCCUGCCUCAG